AUACACACAUACACACAUACACACACGCAUACACACACGCAUACAGACAUGCAUGGGUGCAGCAGCAGCGAGAGACAAAAUGACGUCCCAACGGCGUAAUGCUACCAUAGCAUGGAGGCGGCGAUUUGGGUGGAGUGCUGGUGGUUAUAACCGGUUGCUGCGAUGCUGGUCAGGCCGGCGCCAGCCCCGGUGGAGGUCCAAGCCGUCGGAUAGCAAGCAGACGGAAGUACGGGCAUGUCGCAUCUAAAGCGUGCACUCCUUCUUCUAUAAGCUUAUUAGUACAUUGAUGAUCAAGCCGAUUACUGGAUAACGCAAAUGGCUGCUGACAUGGGAGCUAUAGUAGCCGGUACACUGUACGGCAUCGUAAACAACUACAACUACGCGCUAAGCGUUCCACCAGCAUCUCGUGAGGCCUUUACAGCGGCCAGCUACUACAAGAGCAGUUAAAACAAGUCACCUAGCUAAGCAACCGAAGGUAGCUGAUGCUUUAAUUGCACGAACGCAAGUUAGGCAACCCGUACUUCAUCGAGGCGGGUAACUUGGCAGUUAAAAGUCUUUGGUGGCACCAGUACGCAUCCUACCUCCCGACGCCGUCACCAACAGCAACAGGAUAGGCAGCGCCAGGACCGACAUGGCGGCUCUGAUGAACUGUAGCUUUCCUCGACCUUGUCAGCAGGGCCAAAGGUACGAUAUCCCGUAAGUGUAAGAAGGGUUCAGCUCCCUUAAGCUUGGCAUCUCCCUG
rnacentral:lncRNA from 1 species